UUUACAACUAGGCAAAGCUAAAUUAAAUAAUCCACCCGAAAGGAAGCUACCGUAAUUAUGUCGCUCGUUCGACCCAAAUCGCUUUUCGUUUGCAACAGUUGUGACUCCCCCAUGUCUUGAGGGGCCAAUAGAUCUCAGAUCCCAUUUUUGAAUACUUCCUUCUAGAAAACAGACAACAAACUUCCCUGCAAGUAGAAGGCAGCAUCUCUUGAAAUCUGUGCGCAGGAACGAUGACAGCUGUUGUGGUCCGCCAGCAGCCCACUGACCUGUCAACUGAGUCAGACAGUGAGGAGGCUGGGGAAGACAAUGGGCCAGUCCUGGAGUCAGGGGAAGGCCCGGAAGAGGGCUCUGCAUCGGAGGCAGAGAUGGGGCCAGGGCCAUCUGGGAGCGAUGCACGGACUCCGGAGCCUCCAGAGGCGAACAGCAGAGAGACAGAGGAACAGGAGGAGCUUGUUCCUAGUGCAUGCAUGUGAAGAGCUGCCAGAAGGCAAGAACAGCUGAAGAAAAAAGAACAACUCGGGAGUAAGGCCAGAAGAUGAUUGACCACUCCCAUAAGGCUUAAAAGAGCAGCAAUGAGCCGUUGGGUUCUUUGUAGGAAAGCAAUGUUAAUUUCCAUGCUUCUUGUCAGCAUCUCUUGAACUUUGUGGGGUUUUUGCCAAGAAAAGCCUUUGGCAGGUUGCCAAAGACAUCAAAGGUUGGUGAUAAGGCCGAUGGCCUGGUUAUUAAGAAUGUUGUUUUGGACGAAGCUCAGAGUGAAUUAAUUCUCAGCUGUUUUAAUAAAAUAAG